rnacentral:snRNA from 1 species
GGAUGUGAGGGUGAUCUGGCUGCGACAUCUGUCACCCCAUUGAUCACCUGGGUUGAUUCGGCUGAUCAGGAGGUCUAGACGGGUGUCCCCUUCCUCCCUCACCGCUCCAUGUGCGUCCCUCCCAAAGCUGCACGCUCGGUCGAAGAGGACGACCUUCCCCGAUAGAGAAGAGGACUGUUCUUCAGUCAAGGGUCUACGAGUAGCUGCGCUCCCCUGCUAGAACCUCCAAACAAGCUCUCAAGGAUUAGGGUCAGGAUCAGGGUUAGCUUUAGGGUUAGUAUUCUGGUCAGGCUCAAGGUCUGGGUCA